rnacentral:rRNA from 1 species
GACAAACGCUGGCGGGGUGCGUGAGACAUGCAAGUCGAACGAGGUGCCAUCGGGCUUGCUCGAUGGCUACCUAGUGGCGGACGGCUGAGUAACGCGUAGGUGACCUACCCGGAAGUGGGGAAUAACUGCCCGAAAGGGUGGCUAAUACCGCAUACGGUCGACGAUUCGUUUCGUCGUCCAAAGGAGCAAUUCGCUUCCGGAGGGGCCUGCGUCCGAUUAGCUAGUGGUGGGGUAACGGCNCACCAGGCGACGAUCGGUAGCUGGUCUGAGAGGAUGAUCAGCCAGACUGGGACU